rnacentral:lncRNA from 12 species
CACUUUGUGUGUGUUUCUAAAUCUCCCAAGAUGCGGAACACAUAUAAUUCUACAAAGUGAAGAACUGUACUACAUUAUCAGGAGUUGUACGGUGGCCGGUUUCGAGUGAAUUGGUAUUUAUGUUUGCUCUUGUUUUCCUUAAAUCACAUGUUUGCUAGAGGGUCAUAGUGAGAUGUAUUAGGUUGGAAGAAUAAAUGCAAUUUGAAACUGUACGAGAGCACAUUAGUCAGGGAACACAUUUUCUUCUGCCUAUUGCAAGGAACAGAUAUUGUGGCAAAGUCGGAGGCAAUCAAUCAAGAAAUGGGUAAUUGCCAUGCUUCAAGGAUUAGGGCUGUGUCAUUGCGGAUAGAUGUCAGUAUUGAUGCCUGUGGAUGCAACACCUGAAAAUAACAAGCGCCACCAUGAAUUGGCCCAGCGAGCAUAUUCUUCUUCUAGACCUCCUUCAGGUCACAAGGAAAGUUCUGGAUUAUCGGGGAGGUAUUACAGAAAUGAGAUUAAACUCGAGGAAAGCUGAAGAAAUCCGAUUUAAAUAUUAGACCAAGACAUUUCUCCAGGUCCUAACCAACAUUUUAUUUGUAUAGCACAGCUGUAAUAUCUACAUUUAUAAAUAAUGUUAUUCGACACAGUGUCUAAGUUAUUCCUUUUCCAGGGUCCACGGAGAUAGAACAGAAGCAAUAUGCUUCCGUCACAUAAAUACCCUUCUCUGAAUGCCAGCCUCACCCUCCUCUGGUUGAGCAGGGUCCCGAGAGGAGCGAAUGCACAAUGGCUGGCACACAGCAGACCCUUAAAAAAUUUGAGAUCCCUGAAUCCUUGCCAGGGGCAGAGAGAUGAAACUUCAAGACCCUUUGGAAUGGAAGCAGGCCAGAAGAGGUGGAAGGUACUGAAAUGAACUCAAUUCACCACUGAAGGUUUCCUGUGGGCCUACAAAGAGACUCUUCAUGUCAUUUUCAAAGUUAGUACUUAUUCCCUGUGUGACCUGACUGAGCCGUUGGUUACAAGCACAAAGUGUCUGAACCUGACAAUGGAAUCUGCAGUCUGUUUCUGGAACUGUCUGCCCAAUUUGAUGGUAAACAUUAUUUAAUUUCCUUGGAGAGAGUUGCUCACUAAGCUACAUUACAGAACUAGGCAGGACAAUGUUCCCCUCUAUUUGGUGAUAAGUAAAGAUAUGGUUAAACUUUAUUGAAAAUAU